GACGAACGCUGGCGGCGUGCCUAAUACAUGCAAGUAGAACGCUGAAGGAGGAGCUUGCUUCUCUGGAUGAGUUGCGAACGGGUGAGUAACGCGUAGGUAACCUGCCUGGUAGCGGGGGAUAACUAUUGGAAACGAUAGCUAAUACCGCAUAAGAGUAGAUGUCGCAUGACAUUUGCUUAAAAGGUGCAAUUGCAUCACUACCAGAUGGACCUGCGUUGUAUUAGCUAGUUGGUGAGGUAACGGCUCACCAAGGCAACGAUACAUAGCCGACCUGAGAGGGUGAUCGGCCACACUGGGACUGAGACACGGCCCAGACGCCUACGGGAGGCAGCAGUAGGGAAUCUUCGGCAAUGGACGGAAGUCUGACCGAGCAACGCCGCGUGAGUGAAGAAGGGUUUCGGAUCGGAAAGCUCGGUUGUAAGAGAAGAACGAGUGUGAGAGUGGAAAGUUCACACUGUGACGGUAGCUUACCAGAAAGGGACGGCUAACUACGUG
rnacentral:rRNA from 1 species